rnacentral:rRNA from 1 species
GAGUGUAAUCAUACUAGCACUAAUGCACCGGAUCCCAUCAAAAUUUUGUAGUUAAGCGUGCUUGGGCGAGAGUAGUACUAGGAUGGGUAACCUCCUAUGAAAUCCUCGUAUUGCACCCC